AUCCCAUGAUGCGGACAUUUACAAAGUAAUUCCUUGAAUCUUUCCCACGCCUCCUACAAGGUCUCGUCAUCCAAUUGUUGGAAAAUAGUUAUCUCAUUGCACAACUU
rnacentral:snoRNA from 1 species